GAUGAAGAACGUAGCGAAAUGCGAUAAGUAGUGUGAAUUGCAGAAUUCAGUGAAUCAUCGAAUCUUUGAACGCACAUUGCGCCCCAUGGUAUUCCGUGGGGCAUGCCUGUUCGAGCGUCAUUUACCCCCUCAAGCUCCGCUUGGUGUUGGGCGUCUGUCCCGCUUAGCGCGCGGACUCGCCCCAAAGGUAUUGGCAGCGGUCGUGCCAGCUUCUCGCGCAGCACAUUGCGCUUCUCGAGGCACCGGUGGGCCCGCGUCCAUCAAGCUCACCCCCCCAGUUUGACCUCGGAUCAGGUAGGGAUACCCGCUGAACUUAAGCAUAUCAUAAGCGGAGGA
rnacentral:misc_RNA from 1 species